CCUACGGGUGGCAGCAGUGAGGAAUAUUGGUCAAUGGGCGGGAGCCUGAACCAGCCAAGUCGCGUGAGGGAAGACGGUCCUAUGGAUUGUAAACCUCUUUAGGCGGGGAGCAAUGCCGGGCACGCUUGCCCGGAUGGAGAGUACCCGCAGAAUAAGCAUCGGCUAACUCCGUUCCAGCAGCCGCGGUAAUACGGAGGAUGCGAGCGUUAUCCGGAUUUAUUGGGUUUAAAGGUUGCGUAGGCGGAGUUUUAAGUCAGCGGUAAAAGGUCCGGGCUCAACCCGGGCCGGCCGUUGAAACUGGGGAUCUUGAGUGGGCGAGAAGUAUGCGGAAUGCGUGGUGUAGCGGUGAAAUGCAUAGAUAUCACGCAGAACUCCGAUUGCGAAGGCAGCAUACCGGCGCCCGACUGACGCUGAGGCACGAAAGCGUGGGGAUCGAACAGGAUUAGAUACCCUUGUAGUC
rnacentral:rRNA from 1 species